UACGGAAGGCAGCAGUGGGGAAUAUUGGACAAUGGGCGAAAGCCUGAUCCAGCCAUGCCGCAUGAGUGAAGAAGGCCUUCGGGUUGUAAAGCUCUUUUAGUGAGAAAGAUAAUGACGGUACUCACAGAAGAAGUCCUGGCUAACUCCGUGCCAGCAGCCGCGGUAAUACGGAGAGGGCUAGCGUUAUUCGGAAUUAUUGGGCGUAAAGAGCGCGUAGGCUGAUUAGUAAGUUAAAAGUGAAAUCCCAAGCUUAACUUUGGAAUUGCUUUUUAAAACUGCUAGUCUAGAGAUUGAAAGAGGAUAGAGGAAUUCCUAGUGUAGAGGUGAAAUUCGUAAAUAUUAGGGGGAACACCAGUGGCGAAGGCGUCUAUCUGGUUCAAAUCUGACGCUGAGGCGCGAAGGGCGUGGGGAGCGAAACAGGGAUUAGAUACC
rnacentral:rRNA from 1 species